rnacentral:lncRNA from 1 species
ACUGUUGAAGAGCUGGCUUCAACGUGUGGGCCUCCCUCGAAUAAGUGAGGAACGUUUCGCAAAAAACUUCCGUGCCAGGCGAGCCUGCUGACACAUACCGCAGGCGUAGCAGCCAAUCUGUUUCGGUUGCUACCAAAUAACCGCCCCGCUGCUCGACAAGUGCAAGAGAUUGUUACCACCUCGUCAGGGACAUUUAUAUCUGCCCUCAAGUUUCUUCUGCAUGGCUCUUGUCGCUCGCCAUGAGAGCUCACGCGAUGCUCGUGCCUGCAUUCCGAACCUUGGGAAGUUACGAUAGGCCUAACGCCAAUGGCUCUCCAGUUAAGCGUGAGAAGAGUAUGCUUGCAAGUAGCAAGUCAUGUCUGCCGUGGACUCGUUUCUCGUUGUGCGCGUUCACCGACCGUCGGCGUCGCCUGGACAAAGAACAUUCAUUCAUCGCGAACUAUUCUACGAGGACCAGCGGGGGAUCCUCUUCACGGAGUGCAUGGUCAUCUUCAACAAGAUAGGGAGUCCCCGAGCUUGCGAGGGUGGUACGCAGCUUAGAGAAUCUAUCAGUUGAGUUUCUCGAAUUGGCACUCGCUAGGCGUCUGCUUACGCCUGAAAGAAAAGAAAAAAAAGCACGUGAGGUUAGUUGCGUUGUAAAAUUAAGCCCGAAUCUCUGUGGGCGAGCUGUGGCCGCGUCGGGUGUUCGCCGUGACGGAAUUAGGGAGAGGACGGGCCACGACGUUGAUGGUGUGGUGAAUACAUAUGCAUAGCUUUAGGCUUAGCUUACAGUUAGGCAGGUUAGCUCACACUAGGCAGGGUAGCUGAUAGCCGUCCUCUUUCGAUUUCGCCACGGACCUUGACCCGUUCCGAAUGACGUUGCAACCCGACCACCAUUUCGUGACGAAUUAGUUUGUACGGUAUAGAAGAGGCUAUGAAGCGAAAUGUGGUUUCGAGGAAGCAAACGGCAUGCGGAAUCGCCUCGCCAGCUCGUUAGCUUUGUUAGGGCUGCAGAACGUCUUCAGGCUGCAGUUCAGCGCUUCCGUGCUGCAGCCAAUGUGAGUGGUCAACCUAUAUAUAGUUGCACAUUUUGUGUAUGUGUGGGCCUUCUGUUUGCCCAUUGCUGUGGUACCCACUGUCCGACACGCCGCCCACCUCGGAACACGGUCCGCGCACGCGUGCGAGCGUCUUUCAUGAUGCCUCGUGCCUAUGGGCUGUAGAACAUCCACGUCUGACGAGUCAUCCGAACACCCGCUGGACAAUACAUUGCUGCAAGUUUCGUCACAACAUUGCAAGUGAAAUGACGGCUGUAUCCAGACUGGCGAGGGUGGUUCGCUUACGUGCUAAGUUGUUGUGCCUAAUUAAAAGCUGUUUUUCGUGGCUGGCUGCUGCAGUCACGGUGGGUCUUCUCCGUGACGGAAUCGAAGAGGACGGGCUACGGGUGAGGGGCGCGACGAAUUAACUUGAGGCUUAGCUCACACUAGGCACGGUAGCCGACAGUUGUCCUCUUUCGAUUGCGUCAGGGACAUCGACUCGUUCCGAAAGGUUUUGCGAACCGACCACUAGGAGGUGGUUCGAGCGCGACAUUGCUAUCGAGCGAAAAUUUCGCUGAAGCAAACGGCCUCGCCAGCUUUAGAUAUAGUGCAAGUUAAUUGCAAAUGUUGCUGAUGUUCCUGCUUGCUGUAAGUUUCUAGUAAUCCUUUCUAUUCACAGUGCUAUGCCUAAUAUGAAAAUCUGAGGUUUACUUCCAGGCUUGCCCGUGCCUCCGAUCUUCGUGUCCAUGGAUGGAGCGCGCAGCACACGAGCUAGCCUGGACAUGAUGUUCCGUUUCUUUACGAGCUGUGCAUCGAAGACUGUCCUGCCAGAGUCCACCGGGAGAUUGCGUCGCUGAACACUACUCGUCCUGUCGCUGUGUUUGCAGCUCAUCCACAUUCAAUCGCCGGUUCUCCUGUCAGCGGAUGGAACUUCAAUGAA